UGCUUAACACAUGCAAGUCGAACGAAGCGCUUUGGACUGAUUCUUCGGAUGAAAUCCUUAGUGACUGAGUGGCGGACGGGUGAGUAACGCGUGGGUAACCUGCCUCAUACAGGGGGAUAACAGUUAGAAAUGGCUGCUAAUACCGCAUAAGCGCACGGUACCGCAUGGUACAGUGUGAAAAACUCCGGUGGUAUGAGAUGGACCCGCGUUGGAUUAGCUAGUUGGCAGGGUAACGGCCUACCAAGGCGACGAUCCAUAGCCGGCCUGAGAGGGUGGACGGCCACAUUGGGACUGAGACACGGCCCAGACUCCUACGGGAGGCAGCAGUGGGGAAUAUUGCACAAUGGGGGAAACCCUGAUGCAGCGACGCCGCGUGAGCGAAGAAGUAUUUCGGUAUGUAAAGCUCUAUCAGCAGGGAAGAAAAUGACGGUACCUGACUAAGAAGCCCCGGCUAACUACGUGCCAGCAGCCGCGGUAAUACGUAGGGGGCAAGCGUUAUCCGGAUUUACUGGGUGUAAAGGGAGCGUAGACGGAAUGGCAAGUCUGAUGUGAAAGGCCGG
rnacentral:rRNA from 1 species